rnacentral:tRNA from 1 species
GGAGAGAUGGCCGAGUGGUUUAAGGCGUAGCAUUGGAAUUGCUAUGUAGGCUUUUGUUUACCGUGAGAAAGAAGAAAAGUGCUUAGUUUCGUUGGAAAAACCAACGCAAAUAUCAUAUUGACUUUCUCUCGCCC